GCGCCUAUCGUCUAGCGGUUAGGACGCCGCCCUCUCACGGCGGAAACAGGGGUUCAAGUCCCCUUAGGCGUA
rnacentral:tRNA from 1 species